AAGCAAAAUGGCAGUGUGCAGACGGAGUCCAAUCGCGUACUAAUUUAAAGAAAAAAUAUUUUAAAAUAAUAAAAGCAGUAGUGAUCGGUGUGAAUUUAUAGUCAAAUUAGAGUCGAUAAUGUGAAUAGUGCAAAUCGAAAGUAGUUGAACACUAAACAAUGACAUAAACGGAGAAAAAAGUUUCGCAAGUGAAGCCGUCAGCAUUCGUCAGUGCAGUGAGCUUGCUAGUUGUGUGAAAUAAUUGAUCAAAGGUUAUUCAAUAACAUCUGGAGUGUGCGAGAGUGGAGUGCUGAUUAGGAGACGAGCAGAAAAAAAUAUGGAAACGACGGAAAAAUCGCGUUUAAUUUAAUAAAUAAUUAUCGCUUCUGGUGUUUAGCAGAAAUAUCUCGUCUUAUCCGAUAUGAUUCGACCACACUUUGAGGCUCAGCCUCCCCCAAUGGAUUAUCAGCAGCAGCAACACCAAAUCCAACAACAUGCACAACAACAAAUCUCCAAAAUGGUUAGCAGUCCACCUCCAACCAUUAUUGGGACUCCCAAUGGGACAACUAUGUGCGUGGCGAAGUUAAUAGUUGGAUUGGAUCAUGCUCCCAUGUCUUUCAACAUACGACAGCGUAUAUUUGGAGAUGGUGGAACCAACUUGAACUACAUCCGCUCGGAAACUGGCGCGCUAGUCACUCUUCGUGGUCGCGGUUCUCUAGCAAUAGAUCCACAAACUGGCCAAGAAGCGCCCGAACCAUUGCAACUAUGCAUCGAACAUCCCACAUUGGAAGGAUUGCAAAACGCGAAGCAACUGGCCAAAAAUUUAAUCGAAACAUUGCAAGAAGAACUUAGUUUGUUUCAGGAAAAUAUUCCCAAGCAGAACUUUCAGCUGAUUCAACAGCCCACAUUGAUACAAACGACGCAGGUACCCCAGAUGCAAACAAUUAUGCGAGCUCAACACGUAGCUCAACCAAAUGGCAUUAUCCAUCAACCUCCGCCAUCUGUUUUACCCCCACAAGGGUAUGUGCAGCAUGCGCAGAGCCAGCCGCCUCCCCCACAGAUUAUACAGCAACCGCCAACAAUUAUUCAGUCGCAUGUUCCGGUUCAAAUUCAUCAGCAACCAAGCAAUGUCGUAAUUUCACAAAUUCCAGCAUCGCAGAUUGCUAAUGUUAACAAUCCACCGCCGGGGGCACAAAUCAGGCCACCGUUAGUGCAAAUCAAGAAUGCUGGUCCGCCCCAUCUUUCGCAGCCACCGCCCAAUAUCCAGAUACCUCAACCCGCAGAAACCCAGCAAAUUGUCGUGAAUCAAGCCCCACCCUAUCAGGUUCAAUACAUCCCGCAGAACCCCUCGAUUCAAACGAGUAGCGGUCCCCAUCCUGCAGGCCAGGUCACAAUACAACAUGUUAUCCAACCGCAGCCACAACCCAUUCAAGGAAUCGUGCAAACCACUCUUCCUCCGCCACAGUUUGACCAAUUUCAGCGGCCACCACAAGGUCAGCAAAUUAUAACCGUACAAGGGAGUACAGCGUUCAUGGUACCUCCGCCAAACAUCAUCCACCAGAGCAUGGCUCCGCCCCAACAAAACCAAAUAAUAGUUCAAUCCCAGCCUAUUAUUUCCCAUCCCCCUCCCAACACGAUUCACCAAGAGCUCAUACAGACCGGCAUGCAGCCUCCAAUGGGUCAACCAGGUCAGCUUGGACCCCCUCCAAUGACUCAAGUUCCAAUGGUUGUAAAUGGCACAGAGGACAAAAAGCCCGGAGAGCUUCAAAUGAAGCAAGAGCAAGUUAAGCUUGAGGAGGGGCCUCCGCCAGGUACCAUUAUGCAACAAAUUACGAAAUCAUCCGUGAUUCCUGUAUCAUCCAUGACGGGCAUUACACUAAGUCAGCCGCCGCCGCCAAUCAUGUCGGUGCCGCCCCCAACCGUGCAACAUAUAGUCGGGAAUACGAUUAUAACGUCUCAGCAGAAUCACCCAAUCAGUCAAGGGAUCCCACAACAAAUUUACAGCCAAAUCCCGGUCUCGAUACAAUCUUUUCAUCCUCCACCCCAGCAAAUACAUAUGAACGGUAGUACACAUUUCGUUGUGAACGCGCCCCAACAAUGGCAACCAACUGUAUCGGCUUCGGCACCCCCUCAAAUGCAAACGGUACCCGUCAGCUCCGUUCAGAAUAUUCAAUUCGCUCCGCAGCAGAUGCGCAAUCCCAAUGAGAUUCAGAUUAUCAGUUCGCCUGCAAUUAUAAGCGCCGCCGAGUAUAGACCGCCUCAGCAGCAUAUUAUCACAACCAGUUCGUUUAAUCCACAAAUGCAACCUCCACCAGGGCUUCAAGUGAUCCACACGGUUCCUCCUCCACCGCAGCAGAUUAUCACCAGUAUACCGAACCCUCAGCCACCACAGCAGAUAAUUACAAGCAUGCAGAACCCUCAGCCACAAAUCAUAGAAGCACAACCCCACCAGGGACCAACGCAUCAGAUUAUUACGACCCCUGGGGUUCAACCAACUCAGUUCACUGCGGUUCAGUAUAGCGCACCACAUGAGAUGAAGCCCAACAUUGAAAUGCAGCAUCAUGUGUACAGCGCAGCGCAUCACGGAAUGCGGCAAGGACAAAAGCGAAAACAUCAGGAGGAUGAAUCGCACAAGAAUUUGCCACCAAAGAUGGGAAUGGGAUGACGAAGAGAAUCGACUGUCUGGGUAUAUGCAGAUGUCCAUAUUGAGAAUCAAAUUUGUUGGGGGGUUCUUCCAGAUACACAGCUGAAAAACUGCGGUCACAAGCGAUUAUAUAUUUGUACCAACCCUACUGUUAUCUAUCUUUAACAACGCGUAAAAUCAAUAAUGUGUUACCCAAUGAUACGCAAACUCUUUUCCAGUGUUUGCCAAAUGAUCCACUCAUUGAAAAAAUCGCUUUCGUUCGUUCAAAUAUGAUCUUUCAGGAAACAUUUCCCCCAGCUUUCGGUGCAGAAAGCUUAUUUUCUUCUUUGCAUCUAACAUAUGCAUACCGACCUCUCCAUGCAUCAUGAAACAGCAGGAUCGUAUGGACAACACAAAGCGAAAGAUUCAUAUUCAGCUAAUGUAGCAGAUCCUGAUUUUUAAGUCUCAGAGAGUGCAAACUAUAUGAUUAUUUAGCUCGAUAGAGGCUAAGGGAAGGGUAGACAGAUUAUAUUUUCCCUUUUUAACGCCUCUAUCCCUUGAAAUGUGUAUAUUCAUAUAGACCGCAUAGUUUUACUAGCAACACCGCUCUCUUUCCCCAUUUGUUGCUCUCCGCAAAUGGUGACCGAAUGAUGACGUAAUUUUUCUUGUAUCAUUUAUUGCUUUGCACUUGCCUGUGCAGUGGGUUUCGCUAUAGUAGAGCGGGACGAUAUAUACGGUUCAAACUUGUAUGCAGGCUUCGAAAAUGGUAUGCGAUGUUUGAUACAGAUCGGAUAUGCAAUCAACAGUCUUCUUUCCUCUCUCAGUUUAAUCACUAAAUAUUACACAAGUGAUUACUGACAUUCAUACAAGUAUCUGAAUGAUCCUCUCAUAUUUGGUUAUAUGUUCGUGAGAGUUUACUUGCAUGACACAUUGUGUAUCAUUCGAUUUUGAUCGAAAUCCAAAUACUGCUCUUUUCACCUGACGGUAUGAAAACCGACGCGGAGCAUAUUUUCAUCGAGUCUCCAUUUCAGACUUGAGAACGAAGCACAAAAAUUCAUAAAAGAUCGAGUGUGCACCGCGUAGUGAGAUUUUCCAUUCACAACACUUAAUCGACCCUCCGAAGCGAUUUCGCUCUCAGACUUCGCGUCGGGGAAAACAUUUGUGUAUGGUUGUUGACUGCUCACUGGCUGGAGCGAAAAUGAAUGUUUUUCGCAAAUGAAAUUUCUUUGCGAAAUCGCGGAGUCCAGUUAAUUUUUUUCUGCGUAUCAAAGCUAGCUCUGCACUAAGCCUGCUUUGUGCAUAUCCUGAGCAUGUAUUCCGAAGCCAUCCAUUUUUCACGUUCGUUCAAUAUGGCAGCAGAAAACUGACGAUUGGUAGUAGCGAACGCAGUACUGUGCUGAUUUACUCUUUUUUCCUUGGAUAGAAUAAUACACAACGUAAGUUGCUCGGUCGACGCAGUUCGCACAGAUUGAAACAAUCAGAUUGUGGAAUUUUCGUUUAAAUAAUGCUUGACAUCUUCCCAUCAUUAAACAGUUUGUUUCAAUCAAAUUCAAAUUUUGUGAUAGAUGUGUAGAAAUAGGGCCUGAUCACGAACGACACUCCACGGUGAAAUUGAAAUGAUUUGUAUGCAAGAUUAUUUACAUUUUAUUUCGUUUUCACCGUGGAGUGUCGUUCGUCAUUAGGGUGCACAGUGGAGUGACUCCAUACAUACAGGCAGGCUAGCCAAGUAAAAAAAGUGUUCGGAGACUGAACACGCAUCUGGCAUUAAUUUUUUAUUUGGGGUUGUCCAUAAAACACGCGAUUUUUAUUUUAUUUUAUGGGUGUGAUGCACAAUACUGACGCCUCUUGUUUCAAAUAUAGAAUAUAGUAUAUAUAAAAGGGGAAUACCUGAGCGUGGAUGAGCAUACUGGUUCACCGCUUUAUGCCACACUCAGGUGCCGAGCUUACGCUACACUUCCCAUGCGCGAAGACACAGACACCCGCUACUAGAUGGCACUGUUUUAUGGGCGAAUGUCGAUGAGUACCUAGUAUGGGCCUAGAGGGUAUUCACGGGACCUAAAGUGAAUGCCCAGAUACGGAAAAGGGGGCUUCGAAAGAACCCUUUGUACCGAACGGUUGGAUUUGGCCAAGUGUCGCGCGAAGAGAUUUCCUCGACGUAAAAGAGGUACCGGAGACGCUACUGUCCGUCGUCUACAUGCCGCCCUGGCCCAGAGUUCCGGAACCGAAAGGAUGAAUCAGGGCAGCGGCUCCGGAGCUGUGACGGCGAAAAGCACGAUGUCCUCGGCAUCGACAGCAACGGUUACGACGUCGUCCACAUCCGGCGGUCUAAUCACAUCGCAAAUUUCUUCU